AUACGUAGGGGGCGCGCGUUGUCCGGAAUUAUUGGGCGUAAAGGGCGUGUAGACGGUCAUAUAAGUUGCAGGUGAAAGCCCAUUUUUCAAGGAUGGAACUGCCUGUAAGACUGUAAGACUUGAGUGCAGGAGAGGGAAGCGGAAUUCCAAGUGUAGCGGUGAAAUGCGUAGAUAUUUGGAGGAACACCAGUGGCGAAGGCGGCUUUCUGGACUGCAACUGACGUUGAGGCGCGAAAGCGUGGGGAGCGAACAGGAUUAGAUACCCUGGUAGUCCACGCUGUAAACGAUGGAUGCUGGGUGUGGGGGGUAUCGACCCCCUCCGUGCCGGAGUUAACGCAAUAAGCAUCCCGCCUGGGGAGUACGGCCGCAAGGUUGAAACUCAAAUGAAUUGACGGGG
rnacentral:rRNA from 1 species